CCCAGGUAUUUCAAAUAUGGAUCAAGCAACUAUGUCCCUUACAAUUUACAGGGUGUCCCUCUAGAUUUAUAAGGACUGGCAAAGUGAUUCUCUACUUCAUUCACCUUAUUUAACUUUAUAAAGGGUAUACAUUUCAGUAAUUCACCUUCAAUCAUUCCACAAAUGUUGAAGAACACCAAUUCUGUUUCUAGAGCUGUUAUGGGUGAAUGGGGAUAGAGAGAUGACACCAACAAUAGAAUUUAACAUUUAUUUUGAAUUUAGUAUGUGCCAGCCAUUGCAUUAAGCAUGUAUUAUCACAUAAAAUCCUCAAGAUAUUCUCAUGUGUUAACUUUUGUUGUUAUAAUACACAACUUCAAUAUCUCUGUGGAUUACAACAACAAAUAUGGAUUUCAGGGUCAAAUUACAUUGGGGCUGGGGGUCAGCUGCAACACUGUGGGCCUGUGCCGGGUUCUACAUGUGUUCUCAUUCUGACAAGCUGGUUAAAGCUGCUUUAUGAGACAGCAAAAAGGCUGGUAGAAACUUGCGAUGCUUCUGAAAUCAUCUUUUCAAGUCAUGACAAACAUAUUCAUUUGUGUCCCUUUAGCCAAAGCAAGUCACAUAGCUGCAAACAAAGCCAGUGGAGUGAACAAGGGCACUCCAUUUACCUAGAAGGCUGGCAAUGGCAGUGAGAAGAUAACCAUGAACAAAAAAUGCAAUCUGCCCUAAUUUGUUCUUCUGCCCACAAGAUGCUUUCACCUCUUCCCAAGAUACUUAAAACUGCCAGGUGCUGGGCUCAGAAGUCCAGAACCUGGUGAAUAUAUAUCAUGUCUCCUUGCUGCUCUUCUUGGUUUAGAGAUCCAUGAACUAAAGUGAAAGUUGUCUGUCUUCUUCCUCCCCCAAAACCAAUAUAAUACAAUAGUGGAGUAGGGACACCUUAUUAAAAGAUUGCAAGAGUGGGAGGUACAUACCAGUCAGUGGUUAAUAGCAGUUCUGAUGUUCCACUGAGCAAAAGUUGCAAGUUCCUCCACCCUGACGGUAGGGAAUGUUCCAGCUACAUUUUCUGAGAGUUAUUUCUCAGACUGUUGUUCUCCAUGAUGCUUUAUUGAACAGCUCUUCCUUCUCCAUUAUUUUCCGUGGCCUAUUCUGAAUGAAAGGAGCUGCCACCAUGUCCACCCACCUGAGAUGGAUGGUCUUGUGCAGAACUGCUCUGGCGUCCUGAUCAAGAAGAACAAGCAGACAUACAGCACCUGCCCCAAUCAUCCAAGGGAUUGCAACUCCUUUGCUACAAUGGGUCCAUUCACUGCAAGAUGGUGGGCAUGGAAUUUGCAACAGUGUGGAUGGAACUAGAAGGUAUCAUGCUAAGAGAAAUAAGUCAGUCAGAGAAAGACAAAUAUCAUAUAAUUUCACCCCUAUGUGGAAUUUAAGAAACAGAACAGGUGAACAUAGGGGAAGAGAAGGAAAAAUAAAGUAAGAUAAAAACAGAGAAGGAGGCACACUAUAAGAGAUGCUUAACUACAGAGAACAAACUGAGGGUUGCUGGAGGGGAGAUGAGUGGGAGAUGCGCUAAAUGGGUGAUGCGCAUUAAGGAGGGCAGUUGUUGGGAUGAGCACUGGGUGUUAUAUGUAAGUGAUGAAUCACUAAAUUCUACCCCUGAAUCCAAUACUACUCUAUAUGUUAGCUAAUUUGAAAAAAAAAAAAAAAAAAGGACUGUGGGUAUGAAAUCAGGGCCCCAGCACAGGUGUAAUGGUGGUCAUGAAGUGGAGAUCUGGCCAGCAAAAAUCCACUGCCUCCUGGUGCGAACCACCAUCAACAAGAAUGCCUGGGCCACACCCGGCAGCAGCAGGCACGUGAUCCGCAAGAGCAGGCACCCCCCAGAUCUGCCCUUGGCCACCUCCUGCAGAGCCAGUGCCAUCCUGCGCAGCCAGAAGCCUGUGAUAGUGAAAAGGAAGCAGCCUGUCCCACCAACAGCUCCUGAGCACCUGUCCCCACCUCUGAAGCAAUAAAAAUGUCAACCACCUCAAGAAUAAAUAAAACUGAUGAAGAAUGUAAAAGAAGUACAAUUCACAUCACCAGUGGGAGGCAGGAGACUCUUGAAAAAUGCCCCAGGGACAAGCAAUUAUAAAGAAGAAGCAAUUUGAAAUCUUGACUUUGAAAAUACAGUUGUUGAAAUAAGGGAUUUAGUGAAUGGUUGAAUAACAGAAUUGAUACAGCUGAAUAAAUAAGAUGAAAGAUGGGAUCAGAAAAAUUCGAAAAACAUCAGGAUGGGAUAAAAAGAUAGUUGAGGGAUAAGCAAAGUCAUACGGGAGUAGAAACAGAAGUAACAGCACCCCUGUAAAGAGACCCAAGAAAUAGCGAAAAGGCGAAUAGAGGAGGAGACAGCCGUGGCUCUGAGGCUGUGGUACAAACAGGUGGGCGUAGCUGACAGGCAGUUCCUAUAGGAAUUGCUCUCCAGAAGCCUAAUCUGGUCAACUGAGGAUGUGGCGGACGCAGACUCUACGAUGUCCUUCCCUGGAUCUUUGCACUCACUCUCCACUGCUUCCACUCCGGCAGAUGCUGUAGGCAUCACAGAAGCCCAUAAGCGACACCAGAAGCAACAGGUGGCAUCCCUUGUGAGGCAGAGACUGUCACAUCAGGGAGGGACCUUCAAGCUCUUUCAUAACCAGCUUCCUUAUUCUACGGCUUUGGAAACUGAGGCCAAGGAAGUGUCACUGACUUGUCCCUGGAAGAGUUGAGGCCCCAACCUGGGUCUUUUCCCCAUUCUGUACUGAGGUGUGAGAUUUCAUCCAAUCUAAAUUUCCAUCCCUUAAAGUCUACACGUGACAGUAGCAACCACAUACCAGGCCUGAAACUCUGAGAGUGCACCAGACACCAAGAGGGGUGGGUCAGUAACACUUUAUUAUCAGAAAUCCCAGGAAGUGAAGAGCACGUGUUGGAAUAAACUACAUCCACAGACAGUAAACCAGCAUGUGCACAUUCAUAAUGAAGACAGUGAACUGCAACGCGUUCUAAGCAGAGAUUCUUACUUGAUACGGUAGUUCCCCCUGAUUCACAGUUUCAGUUACUCAUGGUCACUGGUGAUGUGGAAGCAGAAUCAUCAGGAAGUCAAUAGUAGCCCAAGGUCGUGUCACAGUGUCUGUGCCUCUCACCUCACUUCACCACGUUACAGAGGCAUUUUACCAUCUCACAUCAUUACAAGGAGAAGGGUCAUGUCAUAUGGCACCGUGGACUUUAAGAAAGGGAAGCUGUUGGGGUGUGUCUGACCUAAUCAGGAGAGUGCUUAAGAGAGACUGGGCUCUUCCUGAAAAGAGACUUGAAGUGGGAGAGGGACCGGACAUGGGAGCUCUGUUUUGGACUUUGAAAGUGGAGGGGAACGCAUGGUGAGGAGUGUGGAUGGCUUCCAAGAGCAACCUUCAGCUGACAGACAGCAAGGAAAACACGACGUCAGUCCUACAGCUGUGAGGAACCAAGUUCUGCCACAACCAGGUGACCUUGGAGUUGAACGCACAGCAUCAGGUGAGAUCACCGCCAGCCAAGACCUUGAUUUCCGCCUGUGAGACCUUGAACCGAGAACCCAGCUGCAUGGGGCCUUGGCUUCUGACCUACAAACUGUCAGCUUAUGAGCUUCUGUUGUUUUGAGCCGCAAAGAUUUUGGUGAUUUGUUACAAAGCAAUAGAAAUGUAUGCUGCUCCUUCUCCUGCAAGCAGGGAAGAGGCAGAAAAGACUCCGGUGCUCUCCAUCUAAGGCAACAAUUCCCAAUUCCAGCUAGUGGAUCUUCUUGUUUGAGGCAGGUGGUGGGUGAUGGUAGCUGGGUCAGGGAGCCCUGGAGAAACAUCUGGCUGCCACUGGGGUCAGCUCCAGUAUUAUUAUUUUCAACUUGGGAUUUUAGCUUCAAUUCCCAGAUAAAACUACAAGACAUGUACAACAUCCCGCUACCCAUGGGAAAGGCAGUGGUCCCUGUAUCUUUGUCCCUUUGUAACCAUUAUGUUGACUCAGUGUGACUCCAGGGUGUAAUUGUUCAGCGAUUUUAUUUUUGCUCCUAUGGCUCCUUCGUUCUGUGGGACUAAUUAGUCUCUUGCUACUGGAUGACCAUGACUUUUAUGGUCACCGUCAGGUAAUAAAAGGUCUUCUAAUCAGUAAUUAAUACGUCUCAUUCAGAGUAAUAGCCCCAACUUUCAACUUGGCUCAAGGUCACAGCUGCCUCUCUUUGCCAGCUGCUGUGCCGGUUACUUGCAGGGUGGAGGGGAGCAGUUGACUUAGUUUUCCUCCAACUUGCUUUGAUC